CCCUACGGGAGGCAGCAGUAGGGAAUAUUGGACAAUGGGUGAGAGCCUGAUCCAGCCAUGCCGCGUGCAGGAAGAAGGCGUUAUGCGUUGUAAACUGCUUUAGCCAGGGGAUAAAAAGACUCUGCGGAGUUAAUUGAAGGUACCUGGAUAAUAAGCCACGGCUAACUACGUGCCAGCAGCCGCGGUAAUACGUAGGUGGCAAGCGUUGUCCGGAUUUAUUGGGUUUAAAGGGUGCGUAGGCGGCCCUGUAAGUCAGUGCUGGAAUAUCCCGGCUUAACCGGGAGGGUGGCAUUGAUACUGCAGGGCUUGAGUACAGAUGAAGUAGGCGGAAUUGACGGUGUAGCGGUGAAAUGCAUAGAUAUCGUCAAGAACACCGAUAGCGAAGGCAGCUUACUAAGCUGUAACUGACGCUGAGGCACGAAAGUGUGGGGAUCAAACAGGAUUAGAUACCCUGGUAGUCCACACUGUAAACGUUGAUGACUCGAUGUUGGCGAUACACAGCCAGCGUCCAAGAGCAAUCGUUAAGUCAUCCACCUGGGGAGUACGCCGGCAACGGUGAAACUCAAAGGAAUUGACGG
rnacentral:rRNA from 1 species